ensembl:lncRNA novel transcript, antisense to SPTBN5
AGGCCCCAGCUCCUCUGUUCUGCCCAGUGGCCUGGCGCAGGAAAGGUGACCCAGUAGUUCAGCCUGUCCCAGCUGCCUGCCCCAGCACCAUCCCAGACCCCUUUCCCUGGGGCCCACCUUGGCCCUGAGGAAGGCCAGAGCUCGGCUGCUGUUCUCCAGGAAGUGCACACGCAGGCGGCCCCGGCUCGGGGGUGGCAGGGCCUCCCCUGAGAUGAGCUCCAGCAGCCGCAGGAGGUGGAUGCCGUCAGCCAGCUCUGUGUACAGGUUCCGGAUCUUGAUGCCCGCCUGGGGAGGGGACAGGGUAAGACCCUCAGCCCAUGGAGUCCUGUGUGAUGUUGUGAGCGUGGGAGGACAGACUGAACUGCUCGGCCCGUGGAGUCCUGUGUGAUGUUGUGAGCGGGGAGGACAGACUGAACUGCGUGGUGCUUCGCACAUAGACCUCAACAGGGAUUGGCAUUUUGAAGCUGUUGGCGGGGGCUGUGGACUGCUUUUCUUCCUUUCUAGCUCAACGGCAGCUAAAGCCACUGCAUACAAUGCAAGGACUGGCUCCUGUUUGGCCACGACUGAUUGCAGCCCCUGGUGAAAUGAGAACCCUGUGGGUCGGAACAAAGUUUGGAUUAUUUAUGUUGCAAGUAACUAAAAUCUCAAGUGAAACUGGUUUAAACAUUAUAUUUUUAUUAUUUAUUUAUUUAUAUUUAAUUCUUUUUUAGAGACAGGGUCUUCUUAGGUUGCCCAGGCUGGUCUUGAACUCCUGGCCUCAACGAUCUUCCCACUUCAGCCUCCUGCAUUGCUGGGAUUAUAGGUGUGAGCCACCAUGCCUGGCUUACACAGUAUAAAGGGAAUGCAUUGGCCCACACAGUGGAAAAAAAUAUCUAGUAGGAAUAGGAAGGACUUCAGGUGAGGUUUGAUCCAGCAGCUCAAAUGUUGUCACCACAGGCCUGGAUUCCUCUGGCCUUUCUCAAGGUCUCUUUCAUUUUCAUGCUCCACAAGAUGGCUUCUGCCAGGCUGACCUCCCUCCCCUGACCCCAGCAGCUCUGGACACCCCUCUCAGUGCCAUUUAUAUUGUUGCAUCAAUAGGCUCAUUUCUAUAUACUGCAAGGUUCAGAGAAGACAGAGUAUCUCUCUCAAGAGUUCUAACAUAAGUCUGGGGGUCCUGGCUCUCAUAGGCUUGAACAGGGCCACAUGUCCAUUCCUGAGCCAAUAUUUGUGACCAAGGGGAUGUGGUCAAUCUCAUCCAAACCUCACUUGAAGUGAGGGUGGGAGGAGGAGUGCUCUGCAAGGAGACUGUAGGUCUGGACCACCAAAAAGGUAGAUGGGUUGGUGGGAAAAGCCAGAUGCCUACUAUGGUAGUGGGCGGGGGGAGGGCACACUGGCAAGGUACAGCAAGAGGCAGGGGCAGUGCUGGACAGGCAGGGGCUCCUCCCUAGCACGACUGGAGAAAGGACUCCUGUGAAGCGGUCACCUCCAUGAGUCCCUCCUGUCCUGGCUUCCAACCACUCUGAAGUGGGGCUUUUGUCCACAGACCUGGCCUCUGCUGCCUACCCUCUUCUGUCCCCACCUGAUGGGGCCGCUUUCCUUCUGAAGCGGCUGCAUUUUGGGUUUCUCUCCACAGGAAGAGUUGGGGCUCACAGGCACACCCUCUCCCUAACUCUUCUCCCCCGGUUCAACCUGGAUCCAGGGAUCCACACUCUGCUCCGAGAGGCCAGCACGCAGCCACUGGAAAAUGAGCCAGUGGGAGAGGGCAGCUCCAUGUUUAUUGAUCAGCAGACUAUGUCUUUUUGUUUGAAACUUCUAAAUAAGAUUACAAAAAGAAAAAAAAUAGAAGCAUUGCGUAUUAACUGCAUUGGUUAACCAACAUUGGAACCCAAUACUCUUGUAUUAGGCCCGCAUUUACCUGAGUAAACUCAGUGGUUUUCUGUCCUAAGCAUGCUUGCCUGCUACAUCCCAUGGAGAAAAUAAACAGUGAAACACUUUCCUCAUCUUCAAGGCAAUUGUCUCAGGCAUCCUCCAGGCAUCAUGAAGGAGGGUGAGCGAGGGUGCGAGGUGGAAAGGUCCAGGCCGCGGCUGUGACUCCCGCGGGUGAACCACAGCUCCACAGCCCCAAAUCCAAAGAUGCUCUUGCUGCAGCACGACAAGUGUUCAAAAGAGAACCAGGCCCAGCCCGGAGAAAGGAAAGCCAAAAGCCAACUGAAUGAAUGACCCUCCCCCAGAAGAGCAACCCUGCCCCCAGGCCAUCCAAGUGCGAACAUUACCAGGUGCCAGCAGGGAAAGGACUCCGCUGCCUGACGCCUCUCCCACCUGAGAGCGCAGAGGUAGGGAGAUCACAGUGCCUGAGAGGUUUUCCUCCACGGAGAAAUCAGAGACCUCAACCUGCUGCCCUCUAAAGCAGCUUUCUGUAUCCAGACAAAACUUACAUAUGUACACGUUGUUUUAAAACGACAUACUCAUGUGACACACAUGUAUAUAAAUUCAUGUUUAUAUAUGACAAUUGAGGAGAGUUAAAGAACAAGAUAAUUCUGGAUGGAAAAAUCAGUUUGCCUGGGCAUCUGUAAACCUUUGGGCAAGUGAAUUCCCUCUUCUCUCUCAGUUCACCCUUUGGUGACCUCCACCGUGGCUGCAGACUUCAGGUGGUCCUCACGCAUUCACAGAACUGUCUGCUUAGGUUACAGCACUUUGGGAGGCCGAGGUGGGUAGAUCACGAGGUCAGGAGAUCGAGACCAUAUUGACCAACAUGGUAAAACCCCAUCUCUACUAAAAUACAAAAAUUAGCCGGGCGUGGUGGCGGGUGCCUGUAGUCCCAGCUACUUGGGAGGCUGAGGCAGGGGAAUCACUUGAACCUGGGAGGCGGAGGUUGCAGUGAACUGAGAUUGCGCCACUGCACUCCAGCCUGGGUGACAGAGACUUCCUCUCAAAAUAAAAAUAAAAAUAAUAAAAUAAUAAAUGGUUCUUUUCUAUGCGUCUAAUGAAUUUAAGUGCUUGUUAAGACUAAAAACCAUGUUAUGCAUUUCCUGCUCUUAAAACUAAAUUAUGUAGAAAGUAAGCUAGGGAGUGUAAGGGUAGGCAUCUGGAUAUAAAUGCUUCUCCCAAAUCAAGAUUUUCUCUUCAAUCUGUGCCUUUGACCCUGUCACCAAAGGCAGGUGACAGAAAAAAAAAAUUAUGUGCCUUUUGGAAGACUCAGUGGGACGGUUCUGAUUUCAUUCACUUCUGGUGCCAGCAGGCCCCCAUACCAUGUGGCCAUUGCUGUUUCGUGUCUCUUCCUGCAUAAAUAAUGCAGAGAGGCCAUGCAGGUAUGCAAUUUUCUGGAGAUGAGGCAGGGAGAUUUGCAAGGAAAAGUCACCUACCUCCCCAAGCUGGUGCCCACAGAGGGGGAGGCACCUCCACCUGACGCAGGUGUCUGAGCAGCAGUCCAGAGAGGUUUACUCAGGGGAUUUGGGGAGCGCACACUCUGGAGCAGAAGUACAGGUAUGUGCCCGAAUCCUGCCUCGUGAUGGGCAUUCAUGAUACGAACCACACAGCCUUUAAAGAAAAGGUUUUAUAUGAAAGGUUCCAUUUUGUUUCUGUAUAAAGGCUUUUAUCCUGUAAGGAAAAAAAAAAAACACAAAACCC